rnacentral:rRNA from 1 species
GGGUGAGUAACGCGUGAGCAAUCUGCCUUUAGGAGGGGGAUAACGACCGGAAACGGUCGCUAAUACCGCAUGACAUACCGGGAUGGCAUCAUUCUGGUAUCAAAGGAGCAAUCCGCCUUUAGAUGAGCUCGCGUCCCAUUAGCUAGUUGGUGAGGUAACGGCCCACCAAGGCGACGAUGGGUAGCCGGACUGAGAGGUUGAACGGCCACAUUGGGACUGAGACACGGCCCAGACUCC